AGAGUUUGAUCAUGGCUCAGGAUGAACGCUAGCUACAGGCUUAACACAUGCAAGUCGAGGGGAAACGACAUCGAAAGCUUGCUUUUGAUGGGCGUCGACCGGCGCACGGGUGAGUAACGCGUAUCCAACCUGCCCACCACUUGGGGAUAACCUUGCGAAAGUAAGACUAAUACCCAAUGACGUCUCUAGGAGACAUCUGAAGGAGAUUAAAGAUUUAUCGGUGAUGGAUGGGGAUGCGUCUGAUUAGCUUGUUGGCGGGGUAACGGCCACCAAGGCGACGAUCAGUAGGGGUUCUGAGAGGAAGGUCCCCACCAUUGGAACUGAGACACGGUCCAAACUCAUACGGGAGGCA
rnacentral:rRNA from 1 species